rnacentral:rRNA from 1 species
AUUGAACGCUGGCGGCAGGCCUAACACAUGCAAGUCGAGCGGGGUUUUCGGACCUAGCGGCGGACGGGUGAGUAAUGCGUAGGAAGCUGCCCGAUAGAGGGGGAUACCAGUUGGAAACGACUGUUAAUACCGCAUAAUGUCUACGGACCAAAGUGUGGGACCUUCGGGCCACAUGCUAUCGGAUGCGCCUACGUGGGAUUAGCUAGUUGGUGAGGUAAUGGCUCACCAAGGCGACGAUCUCUAGCUGGUUUGAGAGGAUGAUCAGCCACACUGGAACUGAGACACGGUCAGACUCCUACGGGAGGCAGCAGUGGGGAAUAUUGGACAAUGGGCGCAAGCCUGAUCCAGCCAUGCCGCGUGUGUGAAGAAGGCCUUCGGGUUGUAAAGCACUUUCAGCGAGGAGGAAGGGUGGUGUGUUAAUAGCGCAUCAUUUUGACGUUACUCGCAGAAGAAGCACCGGCUAACUCUGUGCCAGCCGCCGCAGUAAGAC